rnacentral:rRNA from 1 species
UACAGAGGGGGCAAGCGUUGUUCGGAAUUACUGGGCGUAAAGGGUGCGUAGGCGGGUCUUUAAGUCAGGGGUGAAAUCCUGGAGCUCAACUCCAGAACUGCCUUUGAUACUGAAGAUCUUGAGUUCGGGAGAGGUGAGUGGAACUGCGAGUGUAGAGGUGAAAUUCGUAGAUAUUCGCAAGAACACCAGUGGCGAAGGCGGCUCACUGGCCCGAUACUGACGCUGAGGCACGAAGGCUAGGGUAGCGAACGGG